rnacentral:misc_RNA from 1 species
GCCAACUGUACUCGGAGAUGUAAGGAGUGAGAUGCUCAUAUCUAGGGAAGAAAUAUUUGGCCCAGUAGCGCCACUUCUGCGUUUUAAGACAGAGGAAGAAGCUAUUCGUAUAGCUAAUGAUACAAAUGCAGGGCUGGCUGCUUAUAUAUUCACUGCAAGCAUUCCCCGUUCUUGGCGUGUAUCUGAAGCCCUUGAAUAUGGGCUUGUCGGUGUGAAUGAAGGAUUAAUAUCCACUGAGGUGGCACCGUUUGGAGGAGUUAAACAGUCAGGUCUUGGACGAGAAGGAUCCAAAU